CAAAGGAUGGGAAGAAACAUCAUUGGCCACAGGGCUAUAGUCGAUUGUCAUGGUGCUGUCUGUUUUCCCUCUCCCCUCUCCCUUGUUUUUUGUCUGUCAUGUGCUGAGUGGGUGUGGCGCUCCUGGCUCUCUCCCUCCUCGUCAAGACACCUGUGGCUUCCUGUUCACCUGAUUCACAUCCAGCAAUCACCUCUCCUGUUUUAAAACCCCAGCCUUCCAACCAGUCUCUGCCCGAUCGUCCGUUCACCCAAGUGAUUCCCACUACAGCCCUGGAAGCCCAGUCUGCCUGUCUGAGCCUUGUUCUUCUCUCAAACCUGAUUCUCACCUGUCUGCCCGCUCUCAGCCCCAGGGGAUAUCCAGCACCUGCAUCACUCAUUUUUUGUGUUCAAUAAACCUCAAUACCUGUUCUGAC